rnacentral:rRNA from 1 species
UACGAAGGGGGCUAGCGUUGCUCGGAAUCACUGGGCGUAAAGCGCACGUAGGCGGAUUGCUAAGUCAGGGGUGAAAUCCUGGAGCUCAACUCCAGAACUGCCUUUGAUACUGAAGAUCUUGAGUUCGGGAGAGGUGAGUGGAACUCCGAGUGUAGAGGUGAAAUUCGUAGAUAUUCGGAAGAACACCAGUGGCGAAGGCGGCUCACUGGUCCAUUACUGACGCUGAGGUGCGAAAGCGUGGGGAGCAAACAGG